rnacentral:rRNA from 1 species
GACGAACGCUGGCGGCGUGCUUAACACAUGCAAGUCGAACGGAAAGGCCCUGCGUUUGUGGGUUGCGCUAGUGGCGAACGGGUGAGUAACACGUGAGUAACCUGCCCUUGACUUUGGGAUAACUUCAGGAAACUGGGGCUAAUACCGGAUAGGAGCUCCUGCUGCAUGGUGGGGGUUGGAAAGUUUCGGCGGUUGGGGAUGGACUCGCGGCUUAUCAGCUUGUUGGUGGGGUAGUGGCUUGCCAAGGCUUUGACGGGUAGCCGGCCUGAGAGGGUGACCGGCCCCCUUGGGACUGAGAUACGGACCAGACUCCUACGGGAGGCAGCAGUGGGGAAUACUGCACAAUGGGAGGAAGCCUGAUGCAGCAACGCAGCGUGCGGGAUGAAGGCCUUCGGGUUGUAAACCGCUUUCGCCUGUGACGAAGCGUGUGUGACGGUAAUGGGUAAAGAAGCAACGGCUAACUACGUG